UACGGGGGGGGCAAGCGUUGUUCGGAAUUACUGGGCGUAAAGGGCUCGUAGGUGGCCAACUAAGUCGGACGUGAAAUCCCUCGGCUUAACCGGGGAACUGCGUCCGAUACUGGUUGGCUUGAGUUUGGGAGAGGGAUGCGGAAUUCCAGGUGUAGCGGUGAAAUGCGUAGAUAUCUGAAGGAACAUCAGUGGCGAAAGCGACUUCCUGGACCAAUACUGACGCUCAUGUGCGAAAGCGUGGGGAGCAAACAGG
rnacentral:rRNA from 1 species